rnacentral:rRNA from 1 species
UACGUAGGGGGCAAGCGUUGUCCGGAAUCAUUGGGCGUAAAGCGCGUGUAGGCGGCUCGAUAAGUCUGCUGUGAAAGUCCAGGGCUCAACCCUGGGAUGCCGGUGGAUACUGUCGAGCUCGAGUCCGGAAGAGGCGAGUGGAAUUCCUGGUGUAGCGGUGGAAUGCGCAGAUAUCAGGAGGAACACCGAUGGCGAAGGCAGCUCGCUGGGACGGUACUGACGCUGAGGCGCGAAAGCGUGGGGAGCAAACAGG